UACGUAGGGGGCAAGCGUUGUCCGGAUUUAUUGGGCGUAAAGCGCUCGCAGGUGGUCCGAUGCGUCGUGCGUGAAAGCCCCCGGCUCAACCGGGGAGGGUCGUCGGGGACGGCGGGACUUGAGGGCGGUAGGGGCCGGUGGAAUCCCUGGUGUAGUGGUGAAAUGCGUAGAUAUCCGGAGGAACACCGAUGGCGAAGGCAACUGCCUGGGCCUGAUCUGACACUGAGGCACGAAAGCGUGGGUAGCAAACAGG
rnacentral:rRNA from 1 species